rnacentral:lncRNA from 1 species
CAUUUUGCCUGUCGCCAUGCAGAGGCUAUUUUUGGAUUAGGGGGUUAGGUUUAGGGUAGAAGUUACAGUUGGGGUUAAGUUUAUCGCUGUCAGGUAUGUUUCUCAGGUUGGGGAUCAAGAAUUAGGUUUUGGCUGAAUCGAAAUGUGUGCGUGUCUUUGGAGACGCCCUAUUUUUGUGUGUUUGUCCAACUGUGUGUGUGUGUGUGUGUGUGUCCAUGUAGGAAGCACAGUGGAGAAAAGCCCUAUGUGUGUGAACAGUGUGGGAAGGGUUUUGCCCAGGCCAGCACGCUGACAUACCAUGUCCGGAUCCACACAGGGGAGAAGCCUUAUCAGUGUGACACCUGUGGGAUGGCCUUCUCCGUCUCCUCUUCUCUCAUCACACACAAACGCAAACACACAGGUGACGCUCCACACGAGUGUCCAGUGUGUCAGAGGGUGUUCAUCACUAAACAAGAACUCAGCAAACACUCUCGCAUCCACAACGACGGAGGACAGGCGGUGAAGCAGCGUGUGGCGUGUGAGCUCUGCGGAAACACCUACGCUGGCGUAAGCAGCCUGAGGAAACACCAGGAGAGACAUCACUUAGCCCCAGUGGAAAUUCCAGAAGGUGUUCUCCUCCACAACAUUCCUAUUGAUCAUCAGGGGCUGAUCUCCCGCGACGCUCCCAGCCCUGUACCUGAGGAGCCAGAAAACCCAGAGCCUGAAGUGUCGGAGAACCUUGAACCGGAGAACCUUGAACCGGAGAACCUUGAGCCGGAGAACCCAGAGUCUGAAGAGACGGAAAACCUGGAGACUGAAGAGCUGGAAAACCCAGAGCCGGCCACCCCUAACUUGAGCCCUAACCCCCUCCGUGUUCUUGUGGAGCAGCUUCAUACUUCUACCUUCUCCACUUCCUCUUUCCCAGCAGCCCACUGUGACCCAGCUUCCCCCAACGAAAAUAUGGAGCAGAUUAUCAUCAUUAGAACUUUGGACAAUGACCCCUGCCCUGACCCCUGACUUGACCAAUUCUGAUCUGUAACCCAGAACCUAACAUUACUCUCUCAGGCUUUAAGUUCUGUUUUGACUCAAUUACCUGGACCUACAGGAUCCGGUAUUAAUCAGCUGUAUAGAACUGUGUGAAUCAGGAUCAGUGUUCCCUCUAAUUAAUAUAGGCACUGAGCAACUGUCUUCACGUUCGAGCACCACUUUUAAUUCAUAAACAAGGUUGUUUUGUUUUUUUACCUGAGUUUUGUUUCAUACUCUUGUAGUAAGCAGUAAGUCAGUCAUUUGCUUACCAAUACUUAACCUAGAACUAGGCUAAUGACUCACUAACAUAUUGGUCUAAGCUCGCUCUGAAAAUCCAGUUGGAAUAAUGCUUGCUCAUGGGCUAUGGUGAACAGUUUCUACUCUGAUGCGUACAUUCUGGCCCUACCAAUCACAGGUUCAGUCUUGCUGAGUUUUGGUUUGUUGCAUUGAAAAGGGGCUGAUGUGUUUUUUUCCAUGAUAGGGCGUCUUGUUCCAUGUAGGGACAAUAUAAUUAGGCAAACUCAGUGAAUUAAUUUGCUCUUUGAGACAGUCCUGGAAGGAGCAUGAGUCCAUGUGCACAGCUUAGAGGGAACAUUGAUGUGAAGUCUUUGCAAAAUAUUUAGAAUUCUGAAAAAUGUGCUUUAAAAUAUAUUUUCUCUCUAACUAAUUGGAAUAACGAGUGCAGAAAAUCAGAUGUAAAACUGUUUUAACCUAUGGCAAAAUCAGUAGAACUGCAUGAUUUGUUUUUUAGAUAAUGCAGGAAUAAUGGCUGGCCUAUGGCUAAAUUAAUGAAAUGUUUUAAAUUGCAGAAUGUUCUCUUUAUUGCAUGGCAAAAUGUGUAUAAUUGCAGAAAACCUAUUUUAAAACUGCCAAAAUUCUCUAUAUUUCAUUGGUAAUAUCUGCAUAAUUGCAAGAAAUUAAAAAGGAAACACCUCAAAUGUUUUGUUCUGAGGGGAUCCACAAACCGUACCCCACCACAGGACCCCGAAACACUAGGACCGGCACCGCAUUCAGAUCUAACAGUAUUUGUAUGUUUUAAAUGUUUGUUGUCAUAUAUAGUUAUAUAAGUGAUUGCAGAAGCUUGAUGACCUACCCACAGAAUAACCAGCCUCACAAUUCACUGGCUUUUUUGUUUCUAAACAUCCUCAAUGAUAAUCUUUUUGAUAUUCUUGUUUUAAAAAAAAAUAAAAGUCUCACUAACAGGGCUUUAGGUAAUGAGAUUGAUGGAUAUUUGUGAAGUGUUUAUUUUUUUUCUCCUUUCAAUUCAACAGCUCUACUCUUAAUGCUGGGAAAUAAAUAUCUGGAAUCUGUGUGCUUUCUCAUCCUUUCAGCAAAUGCACAUUAAACCGUAAUACGAUUUUAUCCUUCAACAUUUUGUUAGUGUGUGCUAACAAAAUGGGGGGGCAACAUGUAAUUGUAAUUUUUUUAUGAGAUGAAAUAAAAGACUACAGAAACUUUUCUACACAUA